rnacentral:rRNA from 1 species
GAUGAACGCUGGCGGCGUGCCUAAUACAUGCAAGUCGAGCGAACGGACGAGAAGCUUGCUUUUCUGAUGUUAGCGGCGGACGGGUGAGUAACACGUGGAUAACCUACCUAUAAGACUGGGAUAACUUCGGGAAACCGGAGCUAAUACCGGAUAAUAUUUUGAACCGCAUGGUUCAAAAGUGAAAGACGGUCUUGCUGUCACUUAUAGAUGGAUCCGCGCUGCAUUAGCUAGUUGGUAAGGUAACGGCUUACCAAGGCAACGAUGCAUAGCCGACCUGAGAGGGUGAUCGGCCACACUGGAACUGAGACACGGUCCAGACUCCUACGGGAGGCAGCAGUAGGGAAUCUUCCGCAAUGGGCGAAAGCCUGACGGAGCAACGCCGCGUGAGUGAUGAAGGUCUUCGGAUCGUAAAACUCUGUUAUUAGGGAAGAACAUAUGUGUAAGUAACUGUGCACAUCUUGACGGUACCUAAUCAGAAAGCCACGGCUAACUACGUGCCAGCAGCCGCGGUAAUACGUAGGUGGCAAGCGUUAUCCGGAAUUAUUGGGCGUAAAGCGCGCGUAGGCGGUUUUUUAAGUCUGAUGUGAAAGCCCACGGCUCAACCGUGGAGGGUCAUUGGAAACUGGAAAACUUGAGUGCAGAAGAGGAAAGUGGAAUUCCAUGUGUAGCGGUGAAAUGCGCAGAGAUAUGGAGGAACACCAGUGGCGAGGGCGACUUUCUGGUCUGUAACUGACGCUGAUGUGCGAAAGCGUGGGGAUCAAACAGGAUUAGAUACCCUGGUAGUCCACGCCGUAAACGAUGAGUGCUAAGUGUUAGGGGGUUUCCGCCCCUUAGUGCUGCAGCUAACGCAUUAAGCACUCCGCCUGGGGAGUACGACCGCAAGGUUGAAACUCAAAGGAAUUGACGGGGACCCGCACAAGCGGUGGAGCAUGUGGUUUAAUUCGAAGCAACGCGAAGAACCUUACCAAAUCUUGACAUCCUUUGACAACUCUAGAGAUAGAGCCUUCCCCUUCGGGGGACAAAGUGACAGGUGGUGCAUGGUUGUCGUCAGCUCGUGUCGUGAGAUGUUGGGUUAAGUCCCGCAACGAGCGCAACCCUUAAGCUUAGUUGCCAUCAUUAAGUUGGGCACUCUAAGUUGACUGCCGGUGACAAACCGGAGGAAGGUGGGGAUGACGUCAAAUCAUCAUGCCCCUUAUGAUUUGGGCUACACACGUGCUACAAUGGACAAUACAAAGGGCAGCGAAACCGCGAGGUCAAGCAAAUCCCAUAAAGUUGUUCUCAGUUCGGAUUGUAGUCUGCAACUCGACUACAUGAAGCUGGAAUCGCUAGUAAUCGUAGAUCAGCAUGCUACGGUGAAUACGUUCCCGGGUCU